AACCGACGUCGUACUUAUCCGAUCGUUGGAACGAACUAAGACCUAUUGAAUUGCAGGAUUCUCCUCUGCUUCACUAAGGUAAUUGUUAAUUCUACCAAUGGAGACGUUAAAGCUGUUUUUGUUGUUGAACACCGGUUAAUUAAUCAAGAUGAUUUGCAGGUUGUUGAGAGGAUGAAGAGGACAAUGCCAUGGAGUGAUGAAGAGGACGAUACAUCUUCAGAUGAAUCUUCAACGCUUGAUACCGAUAUUGAGGACAAUCUGGGGUCCACCAAAAUUGACCCUAAAUUUAGUACUUCUUCUUCUUCUUCAAAAUCCUCCAAAGAUAAAUCUUCACAAGGUAACUUUUUUCCUUCUUUUUACCCCAUUUGCUUGAGAAGUUUAAUCUUUAAAACAUAAUUGUUAUUAACUCAAGGAUUUUUCUGCUACCCAACAAGAAAAAGGUUUACUUCUCAGUAAAAAUAUAAAGGGCAGCUCGGUGCACUCCGUGAAAGAGCCAGACCACGAGGGUUUAUCGUGUGCAGCCUUACCCUGUAUUUCUUCAAGAGGCUGUUUUCACGGCUCGAACUCACAUG
rnacentral:lncRNA from 1 species